GGAGGUGACUCAAUGGUAAAGUGCUUGCCUUGUAUGCAUGAAGCCCUGGGUUCGAUUCCUCAGCACCACCU
rnacentral:tRNA from 1 species